UACAGAGGUCUCAAGCGUUGUUCGGAUUCAUUGGGCGUAAAGGGUGCGUAGGCGGCUUGUUGCGUCGGCUGUGAAAUCCCGUGGCUUAACUGCGGGCUUGCAGCCGAUACGGGCGGGCUGGAGUUCGGUAGGGGAGACUGGAAUUCCUGGUGUAGCGGUGAAAUGCGCAGAUAUCAGGAGGAACACCGGUGGCGAAGGCGGGUCUCUGGGCCGAUACUGACGCUGAGGAGCGAAAGCGUGGGGAGCGAACAGG
rnacentral:rRNA from 1 species